rnacentral:rRNA from 1 species
GGAGGAAAGCAGGGGAUCGCAAGACCUUGCGCUUUUGGAGUGGCCGAUGCCUGAUUAGCUAGUUGGUAGGGUAAUGGCUUACCAAGGCGACGAUCAGUAGUUGGUCUGAGAGGACGACCAGCCACACUGGGACUGAGACACGGCCCAGACUCCUACGGGAGGCAGCAGUGGGGAAUUUUGGACAAUGGGCGAAAGCCUGAUCCGGCCAUGCCGCGUGAGUGAAGAAGGCCUUCGGGUUGUAAAGCUCUUUCAGUCGAGAAGAAAAGGUUGUGACUAAUAAUCACAACUCAUGACGGUAUCGACAGAAGAAGCACCGGCUAACUACGUGCCAGCAGCCGCGGUAAUACGUAGGGUGCGAGCGUUAAUCGGAAUUACUGGGCGUAAAGGGUGCGCAGGCGGCUUUGUAAGUCAGAUGUGAAAUCCCCGGGCUUAACCUGGGAAU